UGUGGAAUAUUGGACAAUGGGCGAAAGCCUGAUCCAGCCAUGCCGCGUGUGUGAAGAAGGUCUUCGGAUUGUAAAGCACUUUAAGUUGGGAGGAAGGGCAGUUACCUAAUACGUAUCUGUUUUGACGUUACCGACAGAAUAAGCACCGGCUAACUCUGUGCCAGCAGCCGCGGUAAUACAGAGGGUGCAAGCGUUAAUCGGAAUUACUGGGCGUAAAGCGCGCGUAGGUGGUUUGUUAAGUUGGAUGUGAAAUCCCCGGGCUCAACCUGGGAACUGCAUUCAAAACUGACAAGCUAGAGUAUGGUAGAGGGUGGUGGAAUUUCCUGUGUAGCGGUGAAAUGCGUAGAUAUAGGAAGGAACACCAGUGGCGAAGGCGACCACCUGGACUGAUACUGACACUGAGGUGCGAAAGCGUGGGGAGCAAACA
rnacentral:rRNA from 1 species